GUCUGAGGUGGAGCCGUAGACUUACCCUUUUUUAGUGUAAGUUUUGAUCUACGGAGCUAAAAGCCCAAAGCUUGAACAAGUCCAACAAGAAGCCUGCCGCUGCAGCCUGGUAGUUAUGCCGCGGGAGAAGAGUCCCGGUUUGAAGAUCCUCUGGCUCUGGACCAUUGGCACAGCCGCCAUUCUGGUCACGAGCGUGGUGAAGACGCGGCUGAGAGACAUGGAGACCCUCAUGAACACCGAGCAACAACAAAACCGCCAAGAAGACCAAAACUUUCCUAACGAAUCGCUCCUCGUUGAUUCCCAAGUCAUUCGAGAAGACAAGUCAUAGGUUUGAGGUCCUUUCUUGUUAUGGUUUUUGGCUGUUGGGUUUUGGAGAAGUGUCCACAACGUGUUUGAUGAAUGUCGUGAAUGAAACUCUUUUGCUUUUUUUUCGAGUUUUCUGGAGACUUUUGCGGCACGAAUGGUCUAAUAAUUUGAGUAAUCUAAGUGGGCAGAUUGAGAAAAAAA